AAAGCCUAGCAAUGUCUCUUACA
rnacentral:siRNA from 1 species